rnacentral:misc_RNA from 1 species
AAUUUCUACUAAUUGUAGAUGCCGCUACCCCGA